rnacentral:rRNA from 1 species
GACGAACGCUGGCGGCGUGCUUAAUACAUGCAAGUCGAACGGAAAGGCCCUGCUUUUGUGGGGUGCUCGAGUGGCGAACGGGUGAGUAACACGUGAGUAACCUGCCCUUGACUUUGGGAUAACUUCAGGAAACUGGGGCUAAUACCGGAUAGGAGCUCCUGCUGCAUGGUGGGGGUUGGAAAGUUUCGGCGGUUGGGGAUGGACUCGCGGCUUAUCGGCUUGUUGGUGGGGUAGUGGCUUACCAAGGCUUUGACGGGUAGCCGGCCUGAGAGGGUGACCGGCCACAUUGGGACUGAGAUACGCCCCAGAAUCCUACGGGAUGCAGCAGUGGAGAAUAUGGCACAAUGGGCGGAAGCCAGAUACAACAACGCCCCGUGCGGGAUGACGGCCUACGGGUUAAAAACCGCUUUCGCAGGUGACGAAGCGUGAGUGACGGUAAUGGGUAAAGAAGCACCGGCUAACUACGUG